rnacentral:rRNA from 1 species
UACGUAGGGCGCAAGCGUUGUCCGGAAUCAUUGGGCGUAAAGAGCUCGUAGGCGGCUUGUCACGUCGGGUGUGAAAGCCCGGGGCUUAACCCCGGGUCUGCAUUCGAUACGGGCUAGCUAGAGUGUGGUAGGGGAGAUCGGAAUUCCUGGUGUAGCGGUGAAAUGCGCAGAUAUCAGGAGGAACACCGGUGGCGAAGGCGGAUCUCUGGGCCAUUACUGACGCUGAGGAGCGAAAGCGUGGGGAGCGAACAGG